rnacentral:rRNA from 1 species
CCAGACUCCUACGGGAGGCAGCAGUGGGGGAUAUUGCACAAUGGGGGAAACCCUGAUGCAGCGACGCCGCGUGAGUGAAGAAGUAUUUCGGUAUGUAAAGCUCUAUCAGCAGGGACGAAAAUGACGGUACCUGAGUAAGAAGCCCCGGCUAACUACGUGCCAGCAGCCGCGGUAAUACGUAGGGGGCAAGCGUUAUCCGGAUUUACUGGGUGUAAAGGGAGCGUAGACGGUUAUGCAAGUCUGGAGUGAAAGGCGGGGGCUCAACCCCCGGACUGCUCUGGAAACUGUAGAACUAGAGUGCAGGAGGGGUAAGUGGAAUUCCUAGUGUAGCGGUGAAAUGCGUAGAUAUUAGGAGGAACACCAGUGGCGAAGGCGGCUUACUGGACUGUAACUGACGUUGAGGCUCGAAAGCGUGGGGAGCAAACAGGAUUAGAUACCCUGGUA